UACGUAGGGGGCUAGCGUUGCUCGGAAUUACUGGGCGUAAAGGGAGCGUAGGCGGACAUUUAAGUCAGGGGUGAAAUCCCGAGGCUCAACCUCGGAACUGCCUUUGAUACUGGAUGUCUUGAGUGUGAGAGAGGUGAGUGGAACUCCGAGUGUAGAGGUGAAAUUCGUAGAUAUUCGGAAGAACACCAGUGGCGAAGGCGACUCACUGGCUCAUUACUGACGCUGAGGCUCGAAAGCGUGGGGAGCAAACAGG
rnacentral:rRNA from 1 species